CAUCACCUGCAAAGCUGCGGUGGCCUGGGAACCCAACAAGCCCUUGGUGAUUGAGGAUGUGCAGGUGGCUCCACCGCAAGCCGGUGAAGUCCGGGUUAAAGUUUUGUAUACUGCUCUCUGCCACACCGAUGCUUAUACCUGGAGUGGCAAGGAUCCUGAGGGUCUCUUCCCAUGUGUUCUUGGUCAUGAGGCUGCGGGGAUAGUGGAAAGUGUUGGUGAGGGAGUGACUGAGGUUCAGCCAGGAGACCAUGUUAUACCUUGCUACCAGGCAGAAUGCAGAG
rnacentral:misc_RNA from 1 species